CCACGCUGCUCCAGCGCAGCUCACACGCGCGUCACACGGCCUCCGGCACACGCACGCUGUUUUCAAAAGGACCGGCGCACAAAGCGUCACAAAAGACCAUGCUUACGCACGCUGGGCCAUAUUUCUGAUGAGCUGUUCAUGCUGUCAUCCAAAGAUCAGGCUGUCCUUCAGCAUGUGAAAGAGUUCAUGAGAAAGCAUGUACUUCCUGCCCAACAGGUCAGCAUUGCCGUCAUGACCUCUGUGGAAAUACCUCAUGUUAAUACAGCAUGAGUACAGAAAGGCAAUGGCUCGAGCCUCAGGCUUGUGGGAUUUGUUUCUUCCGUCUGAGUGGCCUCUCACAGCUGGAUUAUGCUCAUAUCUCAGAGAAGACCGGAUGCUGCUUCUACGCCCCCAAAGUUUUUAACUGCCAGGCCCCAG